CCUUUUUUUUUAUCCCCAUGUUUUUUUAAAAGCGUGGGGAUAUUGUGUUUAGCUCCGCCGUCUGUCUAUCUGUCCGUCCUGGACACUAUUAUCUCCUACACUAUUAGCACUAGAACCUUGAAACUUACACACAUGGUAGCUAUGAGCAUAUAUACGACGGUGACAGCGACGGAAUUUUGAUCUGACCCCUUGGCCAAAAGUUAUUGGGGUCAGGGUGGGGCCGGGUCAGUGAUUUUCCUGCGACCCCGAUUCGAAAAAGGCUCAUAACUACUGUGUCCCUUCAGAUAUUGCUUUCAUAUUUGGUAUGCAUGUGUAUCUAGACACCACCUAUCCAUUCGCAUACAAUUUUUUACCCUUGACCUUCAACUUUGGGUCAGUUUUAAGGUUUUGAAAUCUGUGACCGCGAUUCGAAAAAGGCUCAUAACUACUGUGUCCCUUCAGAUAUUGCUGUCAUAUUUGGUAUGUAUGUGUAUCUAGACAACAUCUUUUCAUGCGCAUACAAUUUUGUACAUGCUACCUUGACCUUGAACUUGAGGUCAGCGUUCAGGUUUCUGAAUCUGCGA